GACGAACGCUGGCGGCGUGCUUUAUACAUGCAAGUCGAACGAUGAAGUUCCUUCGGGAAUGGAUUAGUGGCGAACGGGUGAGGAACACGUGAGAAACCUGCCUUUCAUUCUGGGAUAACACCGGGAAACCGGUGCUAAUACCGGAUACUCCGUCUUGGCGGCAUCGCCGAGCCGGGAAAAAAUUUUGAUGAAAGAUGGUCUCGCGGCCUAUCAGCUAGUUGGUGAGGUAAUGGCUCACCAAGGCGACGACGGGUAGCCGGCCUGAGAGGGCGACCGGCCACACUGGGACUGAGACACGGCCCAGACUCCUACGGGAGGCAGCAGUAGGGAAUAUUGGGCAAUGGGCGCAAGCCUGACCCAGCGACGCCGCGUGAGGGAUGAAGGUCUUCGGAUUGUAAACCUCUUUCAGUAGGGAAGAAGCGAAAGUGACGGUACCUAAAGAAGAAGCACCGGCUAACUAUGUGCCAGCCGCCGCAGUAAGAC
rnacentral:rRNA from 1 species